AUUGAACGCUGGCGGCAGGCCUAACACAUGCAAGUCGAACGGCAGCGGGGGGAAGCUUGCUUCCCCGCCGGCGAGUGGCGGACGGGUGAGUAAUGCCUGGGGAGCUGCCCAAUCGAGGGGGAUACCAGUUGGAAACGACUGCUAAUACCGCAUACGCCUCGAGGGGGAAAGAUGGGGAUCUUCGGACCUAUCGCGAUUGGAUGCACCCAGGUGGGAUUAGCUAGUUGGUGAGGUAACGGCUCACCAAGGCGACGAUCUCUAGCUGGUCUGAGAGGAUGACCAGCCACACUGGAACUGAGACACGGUCCAGACUCCUACGGGAGGCAGCAGUGGGGAAUUUUGGACAAUGGGCGAAAGCCUGAUCCAGCCAUUCCGCGUGAGUGAAGAAGGCCU
rnacentral:rRNA from 1 species